rnacentral:lncRNA from 1 species
AAAUAAUUAAUUAAAAUAAAAAAUCUUAUAACAAUAGUUUAUCUCAUCCUAACAAUGCAAAUAUCUAGCCAUAUAUAUUCAAAUUACAAGAAAUCAUUAGAAGUUUAAUAAACAUUACCCAAAGUUUGAAAAGUUAAAGAGAAACGAUGGAUUCUUGAUGAUUUUUAAGUUUUCCUUCCAAUCUUUGAGCAAUUUUCCUAGUAUGAAGUUUCCUUAAUGAUCUUCUUGCAAUUUCUCAGUUGAAAUCUCCUUCAAAGAUGAAUUUGCCCUCUUCUUCACUAGGAACAUUGGUUUAUAGCAGCGAAUUUACAAGUAUUAAAAUGAUGGAUUUUUUUAUUCAAUUAAUUUUAUGUCAAUGUGUCUUCAUGUAUAAGAGAUACGAAAGCUUUUUGAUUUGGUGCUUGGAAACAUGCCAUGUUGGGACAGUGGCCAAAUUCUGAACACCUUGAAUUCAAGAAAGAGUACCCAUCCGUAGAUGAAAGAUAUUUACUAUAUAUACUGAUGAAAUGAUAUUAUGUUGGCAUAAAGUCGGGAGUAUCUACAUCCUGUUGAGUUCAGUGUUCGAAACACAAAAUAGGUGAUAACGAUGAGAUUGAUUGCAUGAAAAGGAAUCUCAUUAUUUUAGUCCUAGAUUUCGAGGUUCAGGUACACACUCUUAAUUUAUUACUUUUAUGUAUUUUCUUUUGUUAUUUUCAACUAUGUUUUUAUAAGCUUUUAGAGUUUCUAUAAUUAAUUGGAAUUUUAUAUUUGAAAAUUAGAUAAAUGAAUCUAACAAAGGAUGCUUU